GAAAUGCUGGCAGCUUACGCGGGUUAAUCCCUGUUACGUUUGAAUG
rnacentral:rRNA from 1 species